rnacentral:rRNA from 1 species
CCUACGGGAGGCAGCAGUGGGGAAUAUUGCGCAAUGGGCGAAAGCCUGAAGCAGCGACGUCGCGUGAGGGAUGAAGGUCCUCGGAUCGUAAACCUCUGUCAGCAGGGAAGAACGGUCACUGUGCUAAUCAGCAGUGAAUUGACGGUACCUGAAAAGGAAGCACCGGCUAAAUCCGUGACAGCAGCCGCGGUAAUACGGAGGGUGCGAGCGUUAAUCGGAAUUACUGGGCGUAAAGCGAUCGUAGGCGGUAUGUCAAGUCAAGGGUGAAAUCCCCGCGCUCAACGUGGGAACUGCCUUUGAAACUGGCAAACUGGAGUGUGUGAGAGGAUAGUGGAAUUCCUGGUGUAGGAGUGAAAUCCGUAGAUAUCUCGAGGAACAUCAGUUGCGAAGGCGACUAUCUGGCACAUAACUGACGCUGAGGAGCGAAAGCGUGGGUAGCAAACAGGAUUAGAUACCCCUGUAGUC